rnacentral:rRNA from 1 species
CUUGUCAGGACGAACGCUGGCGGCGUGCCUAAUACAUGCAAGUCGAGCGAGCUGAAUUCAAAGAUCCCUUCGGGGUGAUUUGUUGGACUGCUAGCGGCGGAUGGGUGAGUAACACGUGGGCAAUCUGCCCUAAAGACUGGGAUACCACUUGGAAACAGGUGCUAAUACCGGAUAACAACAUGAAUCGCAUGAUUCAAGUUUGAAAGGCGGCGCAAGCUGUCACUUUAGGAUGAGCCCGCGGCGCAUUAGCUAGUUGGUGGGGUAAAGGCCUACCAAGGCAAUGAUGCGUAGCCGAGUUGAGAGACUGAUCGGCCACAUUGGGACUGAGACACGGCCCAAACUCCUACGGGAGGCAGCAGUAGGGAAUCUUCCACAAUGGACGCAAGUCUGAUGGAGCAACGCCGCGUGAGUGAAGAAGGUUUUCGGAUCGUAAAGCUCUGUUGUUGGUGAAGAAGGAUAGAGGCAGUAACUGGUCUUUAUUUGACGGUAAUCAACCAGAAAGUCACGGCUAACUACGUGCCAGCAGCCGCGGUAAUACGUAGGUGGCAAGCGUUGUCCGGAUUUAUUGGGCGUAAAGCGAGCGCAGGCGGAAUGAUAAGUCUGAUGUGAAAGCCCACGGCUCAACCGUGGAACUGCAUCGGAAACUGUCAUUCUUGAGUGCAGAAGAGGAGAGUGGAACUCCAUGUGUAGCGGUGGAAUGCGUAGAUAUAUGGAAGAACACCAGUGGCGAAGGCGGCUCUCUGGUCUGCAACUGACGCUGAGUC